rnacentral:tRNA from 2 species
CGGGGCGUAGCUUAGCCUGGUAGAGCGCUACGUUCGGGACGUAGAGGUCGCGAGUUCGAAUCUCGCCGCCCCGACCA